rnacentral:lncRNA from 1 species
CAGGAAACAGCAUAAGUGGAUGCUUCUGUGAGAGUGCAGGUUGCUAUGAGACCUAAGAAGCCCGCAUGCUUUGCUGUGGACUGAAUGUUUGCAUACCCUCCUGAAUUCAUAUGCUGAAGCCUAAAUCCCCAAUUUGAUGGUAUACGAAGGUGGGGCCUUUGGGAGGUAAUUAGGUCAUGAAAGUGGAGCCCUCAUGAAUAGGAAGAAUGCCCUUAUAAAAGAAAUUCCAACAAGCUGCCUUGCCCCUUUUCUGCCAUUUGAGAAAACAGUGAGAAAUUGCUGCCUGUGAACCAGGAAGCGGGUGCUCACCGGACACUGAAGCCACUGGCACCUUGAU